rnacentral:rRNA from 1 species
AUUGAACGCUGGCGGCAGGCCUAACACAUGCAAGUCGAGCGGAGCGGCGGACGGGUGAGUAAUGCCUAGGUAUCUGCCUGGUCGUGGGGGAUAACGUCCGGAAACGGGCGCUAAUACCGCAUACUCUCAGAUGAGCCUAGGUCGGAUUAGCUAGUUGGUGGGGUAAAGGCCUACCAAGGCGACGAUCCGUAACUGGUCUGAGAGGAUGAUCAGUCACACUGGAACUGAGACACGGUCCAGACUCCUACGGGAGGCAGCAGUGGGGAAUAUUGCACAAUGGGCGCAAGCCUGAUGCAGCCAUGCCGCGUGUAUGAAGAAGGCCUUCGGGUUGUAAAGUACUUUCAGCGGGGAGGCGUUACCAACAGAAUAAGCACCGGCUAACUCCGUGCCAGCAGCCGCGGUAAUAC